rnacentral:rRNA from 1 species
GACAGAGGUGCCAAGCGUUAGGCGGAAUCACUGGGCUUAAAGCGUGUGUAGGCGGAUUUGUAAGUACCUUGUGAAAUCCCACGGCUCAACCGUGGAACUGCUCGGUAUACUGCUUAUCUUGAGCCACUUAGGGGCUACCGGAACAAAUGGUGGAGCGGUGAAAUGCGUAGAUAUCAUUUGGAACGCCAAUGGUGAAAACAGGUAGCUGGGAGUGUGCUGACGCUGAGACACGAAAGCCAGGGGAGCAAACGGG